rfam:Chlorocebus sabaeus isolate 1994-021 chromosome 1, whole genome shotgun sequence.
UGUACUAAAAGUGGAACAAAAUAAAAUAGGAACCAUACAGAGAUGAGCAUGGCCCCUGUGCAAGGAUGACAUGCAAAUUUGUGAAGAAUUCCAUAUGUUU